rnacentral:rRNA from 1 species
GGGGAAUAUUGCACAAUGGGCGCAAGCCUGAUGCAGCCAUGCCGCGUGUGUGAAGAAGGCCUUCGGGUUGUAAAGCACUUUCAGCGAGGAGGAAGGGUAGUGUGUUAAUAGCACAUUGCAUUGACGUUACUCGCAGAAGAAGCACCGGCUAACUCCGUGCCAGCAGCCGCGGUAAUACGGAGGGUGCAAGCGUUAAUCGGAAUUACUGGGCGUAAAGCGCACGCAGGCGGUUUGUUAAGUCAGAUGUGAAAUCCCCGCGCUUAACGUGGGAACUGCAUUUGAAACUGGCAAGCUAGAGUCUUGUGGAGGGGG